AGGGGCCAGGAACCAUGGCUCACACGUGUAAUCCCUAGCGCUGUGGGAGGCUGAGGUGGAAGGAUCACAUGAGGCCAAGAAUUUGAGAUCAGCCUGGGCAACAUAGCAAGACCUUGUUUCUAAGAAAGAAAAAUUUUUAAAUUGGCCUGGCGUGGUGGUCUAUGCUUGUAGUGCUAGCUACUGAGGAGGCUGAGGUGGGAGGAUUGCUUGAGCCCAGAAGUUCAAAGCUGCAGUGAGCCACCAUUGUGCCACUGUACUCCAGCCUGGGCAACAGUGAGACAGUGAGACCCUGUCUCCAAAAAAAAAAGUUCCCAAGGUGUUAUACGGUACAGAAAAUAAUCACAGGCAUUGCCCUCUCACAGUAAAGAAGUAUUCACAAGUACUUGCCAUAUUUUUCUUUUCAAGGCUGUUUCCUGGGAACUGAAUUUAUCAUUAAUUUUAUUAUUUCUACAUAUGGUGGCAAUAUUACCUUACUCAGGAAUCUCUUCAGACUUACCAUCUGACAUAUCCUUAAGGACCAGAUUCUCCAACUCACUCCACUCAGUAUUCAGACGUUUCAUUAAUUUGAAUGCAUUUACUGGAUGCCCAACAAAUCCUUCUGGAUCUUUUGUCGCUGUACUAGUCAGCCGAUCUAACUUCUCUGCCCAUCUACAGAUGUAAAACAUAAAAACCGAAUAUUUAUAUUUCAUAGGGAAAAACACAAUUUAAUGAAAUGCUCAGAAAAAAAUGACUAGAAGUUUUUGAGUUCAACUAUACCUGUAGUUUCUUUUUAAAGUAAAAUUAUAUGGUCUCUU
rnacentral:lncRNA from 1 species